rnacentral:rRNA from 1 species
GACGAACGCUGGCGGCGUGCCUAAUACAUGCAAGUUGAGCGCUGACGGUUGGUACUUGUACCAACUGGAUGAGCAGCGAACGGGUGAGUAACGCGUGGGGAAUCUGCCUUUGAGCGGGGGACAACAUUUGGAAACGAAUGCUAAUACCGCAUAAAAACUUUAAACACAAGUUUUAAGUUUGAAAGAUGCAAUUGCAUCACUCAAAGAUGAUCCCGCGUUGUAUUAGCUAGUUGGUGAGGUAAAGGCUCACCAAGGCGAUGAUACAUAGCCGACCUGAGAGGGUGAUCGGACACAUUGGGACUGAGACACGGCCCAAACUUCUACGGGAGGCAGCAGUAGGGAAUCUUCGGCAAUGGACGAAAGUCUGACCGAGCAAAGCCGCGUGAGUGAAGAAGGUUUUCGGAUCGUAAAACUCUGUUGGUAGAGAAGAACGUUGGUGAGAGUGGAAAGCUCAUCAAGUGACGGUAACUACCCAGAAAGGGACGGCUAACUACGUG